UGUUGUGUCACUCUAAGCUUUAAGCGUGAGUGCUGUGUAUCUUGAUUAAAGUUGUUAAGCACAAUCAAGAGUUGUUUGAAGUAUAACUUUGCCAUUUAACUUUAAACCAAUUAAGGUUGUAAUCACUGUGGUGAUUGAGGGGGAGUGAGUAGGAACUCUGAUCUUAGUUUUAGAUUGAAAUUGCAUUGGGUAGGUAUUAAGUGAUAGGAUUAAAC
rnacentral:lncRNA from 1 species